rnacentral:rRNA from 1 species
CCAGACUCCUACGGGAGGCAGCAGUGGGGGAUAUUGCACAAUGGGGGAAACCCUGAUGCAGCGACGCCGCGUGGGCGAAGAAGUAUUUCGGUAUGUAAAGCCCUAUCAGCAGGGAAGAAACAGGACAGUACCUGACUAAGAAGCCCCGGCUAACUACGUGCCAGCAGCCGCGGUAAUACGUAGGGGGCAAGCGUUAUCCGGAUUCACUGGGCGUAAAGGGAGCGCAGGCGGCAUGGCAAGUCUGAUGUGAAAUCCCGGGGCCCGACCCCGGGAGUGCAUUGGAAACUGCCAGGCUGGAGUGUCGGAGGGGUAAGCGGAAUUCCUAGUGUAGCGGUGAAAUGCGUAGAUAUUAGGAGGAACACCAGUGGCGAAGGCGACUUUCUGGACUGUACCUGACGCUGAGGCGCGAAAGCGUGGGUAGCGAACGGGAUUAGAUACCCUUGUA